UUAAAACCCUAAUCCUGAUUAAAGGGAGGAGUUCAGUUUAGGGUUUAAAACCCUAAUGCUGACCAAAGGAAAAGUUCAGUUUAGGGUUUAAAACCCUAAUGCUGACUAAAGGGAAAAAGUUCAGUUUAGGGGUUUAAAACCCUAAUGCUGACUAAAUGGAAAAUAGUUCAGUUUAGGGUUUAAAACCCUAAUCCUGACUAAAGGAAAAGUUCAGUUUAGGGUUUAAAACCCUAAUGCUGACUAAAGGAAAAAGUUCAGUUUAGGGUUUAAAACCCUAAUGCUGACUAAAUGGAAAAAGUUCAGUUUAGGGUUUAAAACUGUAAUGCUGACUGAAUGGAAGAGUUCAGUUUAGGGUUUAAAACCCUAAUGCUGACUAAAUGGAAAAAGUUCAGUUUAGGGGUUAAAGCCCUAAUGCUGACU
rnacentral:lncRNA from 1 species